rnacentral:sRNA from 1 species
UUCACCUCUUCUCUCAGCUCCCGGCAGCAUGGGUCCUGGGCCCGCCUCGCUGCUCGCCGCCCUCCUGCUGCUUCUCUCCGGCGACCGCGCCGUGCGCUGCGACACACCUGCCAACUGCACCUAUCUUGACCUGCUGGGUACCUGGGUCUUCCAGGUGGGCUCCAGCGGUUCCCAGCGCGAUGUCAACUGCUCGGUUAUGGGACCACAAGAAAAAAAAGUAGUGGUGCACCUUCAGAAGCUGGAUACAGCAUAUGAUGACCUUGGCAAUUCUGGCCAUUUCACCAUCGUUUACAACCAAGGCUUUGAGAUUGUGUUGAAUGACUACAAGUGGUUUGCCUUUUUUAAGGAUGUCACUGAUUUUAUCAGUCAUUUGUUCAUGCAGCUGGGAACUGUGGGGAUAUAUGAUUUGCCACAUCUGAGGAACAAACUGGAGAGUGACUGGAGAGAUUAUGGUUUUCUUAUGAAUUUCUUGCUUGAGCCUGCUUGUCUGCUGUUUCUAAGUUGUCUGCACUUUUUUAUUUAUUAAAUAGAGCAUCUGUUGAGGGACUCUUUUAAAACCACAGCCAUGAACAGACGUUGGGGCUAAGAGACAGAGCAG